AUGGUAUGUUAUGUCGUGUUAUGUUAUGUCAUGGUAUGUUAUGUCAUGGUAUGUCAUGUCAUGUUAUGUCCAUGUCUCAAUCUCUGAAUGCUCGGCUAUGAAAAGCCAACUGACAUUUAACUUCUGAGGUGCAGACCUGUUGCUACCCUCUAUAACAAGCGUCUCCAGACUUUUAUAGCAUGAGCUCCUUUAAAAAAAAAUGAAACAUGUCACAAGCAAACUCUUUAAAUUUUUAUUUAUUUAUAGCUUUUAAAUAGGCACAUUCUUCUCCUCUACCCGGCAACUCUUCCCCGGGUUCCUCGCUGUAUAAAAGAUGUCAAUAUACCUGAUAGAAUAAUGGUUCAUAAACGGUAAUCAACACGACAGCCCCACAACAUUGUCCUUAGUAUUUUCCAGAUUUUUUUUCUUCUUCUCCUGGUUUUGACUCCGUUUUUAACUCUCAAUAGUACAACUGUUCAUAGAGAAACAGCAACUGAAUGUUCUGAGUCCACGUCUAUGCUUAAAUCACAUCAGAAGACCUUCAGACCUAAACAUAACGAUUUUAGAUUUUUUGAGUGUAAUUCCCUUUUAAUUGCGCAUCGAGCCAGAGAGAGAUGUGUCGCUGUAGUGAUGCUUCUGUCAGGACGACUGCAGCUCGCGUCAUGGUAGAGUUUGUAAAACAAUGGCCAUCCAAUUGAUGUAAAUAAUCAUGACCGUUGUGUCAGGUAAGCCUACUUUACAGUUAACAUUUAAUUGACCAGGUAAUUGAUGUAAAUAAUCAUGACCGUUGUGUCAGGUAAGCCUACUUUACAGUUAACAUUUAAUUGACCAGGUAAUUGAUGUAAAUAAUCAUGACCGUUCUGUCAGGUAAGCCUACUUUACAGUUAACAUUUAAUUGACCAGGUAAAUGGGGAAAGUCUUUCUGUCUCUGCCGCUCUGACAUUUCUCAACCAUAUAUUUAUAUAUUCUUAAUUCCAGUCCUUUACUUAGAUGUGUGUGUAUUGGGUAUGUUGUGAAAUUGUAAGAUAUUACUGCACUGUUGGAACUAGAAGCACAAGCAUUUCACUACACCUGCAAUAACAUCUGCUAACCAUGCGUAUGUGACCAAAUUUGGGACUCCCCAAUCAUGGCCAGUUGUGAUACAGCCUAGAAUCGAACCAGGGUCUGUAGUGAACACCUCUUGCACUGAGAUUCUGUGCCUUAGAUCGCUGCGCCACUCAGGAGCCCAACUACAUGGUGAGCUACUCAUAGGUGGGCUGUGAGCUGCUGGUAGAUGUCCAUCCACCUAUUGGAGAGCCCUGAUCUAUAACCACUGUGAUUAUUAUCUCACCCUGCUGGUCAUCUAUGAUCGUCUGAACAUCUUGAAGAACCAUCUGGCCUUAAUGGCCGUAUACUCCUUAUAAUCACCAAUCUCUGAGGACUGGUCCACCCCUCUGAGCCUGGUUCCUCUCUACCCAGCACAACCAGAAAGAGGACUGGUCCACCCCUCAGAGCCUGGUUCCUCUCCACCCGGCACAACCAGAAAGAGGACUGGUCCACCCCUCAGAGCCUGGUUCCUCUCUACCCAGCACAACCAGAAAGAGGACUGGUCCACCCCUCAGAGCCUGGUUCCUCUCUAGGUUUCUUCCUAGGUUCCUACCCUUUCUAGGACGUUGUUCCUAGCCAGCGUGCUUCGACAGCUACAGAGUUU
ensembl:lncRNA